rnacentral:rRNA from 1 species
UAGGGAAUAUUGCACAAUGGGCGAAAGCCUGAUGCAGCAACGCCGCGUGCACGAUGAAGGUCUUCGGAUCGUAAAGUGCUUUUCUGGGAGAUGAGAAAGGACAGUAUCCCAGGAAUAAGUCUCGGCUAACUACGUGCCAGCAGCCGCGGUAAAACGUAGGAGGCAAGCGUUAUCCGGAUUCACUGGGCGUAAAGCGCGUGCAGGCGGCUCGGUAAGUUGGGCGUGAAAUCUCCUGGCUUAACUAGGAGAGGCCGUCCAAUACUACCGGGCUAGAGAGCAGUAGAGGAAGAUGGAAUUCCCGGUGUGGUGGUGAAGUGCGUAGAUAUCGGGAGGAACACCAGUGGCGAAGGCGAUCUUCUGGACUGUUUCUGACGCUCAGACGCGAAAGCUAGGGUAGUAAACGGGAUUAGAGACCCCGGUAAUCCUAGCCGUAAACGAUGUGAACUUGGCGUCGGUAGCUUAAACACUAUCGGUGCCGCAGCAAACGCGAUAACG